rnacentral:rRNA from 1 species
GACGAACGCUGGCGGCGUGCUUAACACAUGCAAGUCGAGCGGUAAGGCUCCUUCGGGAGUCCACGAGCGGCGAACGGGUGAGUAACACGUGAGUAAUCUGCCCUUCACUUCGGGAUAACCACCGGAAACGGAGGCGAAUACUGAAAACGCCUAGUCUUCGCAUGCGGUGCUGGUGGGAAGUCUUGUCGGUGGAGGAUGUGCUCGCGGCCUAUCAGCGUGUUGGUGGGGUAAUGGCCUACCAAGGCUUCGACGGGUAGCCGGCCUGAGCGGGUGACCGGCCACACUGGGCCUGAGACACGGCCCAGACUCCUACGGGGGGCAGCUGUGGGGAAUAUUGGACACUGGGCGAAAGCCUGCUCCAGCGACGCCGCGUGAGGGGUGACGGCCUUCGGGUUGUAUACCUCUUUCAGUACCGACGAAGCGACCUGUCGGGUGGUGACGGUAGGUACAGAAGAAGGACCGGCCAACUACGUG